ensembl:lncRNA
UGGCUAUUCGCGGAAGAUAUUAUGGUUGGUUUGCGGAGCAACUAACAGCAACCCAGAAGUCAUAGCUCAACACUACGUUCAGUGUGCUUCAGAGUUUGGAGUCAUACCAGUGCGACUUCGCACAGACUGCGGCACUGAAAAUGGGACGAUGGCAGCAAUGCAUUGUGCCUUACGGUCAUCUCAUCAGGAUUUUUUUGCAGGAGCUGCCAGUCAUAUGUAUGUAUCUUCAAUAACAAAUCAAAGAAUUGAAAGCUGGUGGUCGUACUUCAGAAAACAGCGAACACAGUUCUGGAUGGACCUUUUGAGUGACAUGAAGGAAAUGCACCUCUUUAAUGGUAGUCAUGAACACAUGUGCUUGGUGCGCUUCAAUUUCAUGGCUGUGCUUCAGAGGGAUCUGGAUGAAUGCAAAAGAAAGUGGAACACGCACCUGAUCCGUCCAGUUAGCCAGUCACGCUGUCCAUCUGGUAAACCGGAUGUGAUGUAUUACCUGCCUCAUAGGUUUGGUGGACGCGACUGUGGCCUUGCAGUUGGACAUCAAGAGCUGAGCCAGUUCAGGAUGAGUUCAACUCCCGAUUUCUGUGGAGACCCUCACCUACAGGAAUAUUUUGAAGGACUAAACAGUGGCUUCAGUUCAUCACAGACAUUUGAAUCUUGUGUGGAGAACUACAUCAGACUAAAAGGACUUGCUGGGUUGUAAUGCCAAGGUUCCCACACAUCCCAGAACUGUGGAUUCCACUUUGUGGUUAUAAUAAUGCACCACCUGCACUUUUGUUAAGGCAAAAAAAAAAUGUUUUUUGCUUCAAGUAGAUCACAAUUAUAGUUCAUCAGUUUAUAGUCACUUAAAAAAAUAGCCUUUGUGUUUUUCCAAAUAAGAAUAUCAGUUGUGACGAUGAGAUCAAAUAAAUUAUUUAUCCUAACAGAUGAUAUUGUGAAGACUCUCUUAACCUCCACCUUAAAUGCAAGACACGUGUUGGUAUUAUUAGCUUUAUUAAUACAGGUUGAUAUAAAAUAAAGGAGUAAAAACACUCUAAUUUAAGUAAUAAGAUUUAUUGUUAACGUUAACAAGGCAAAUUACACUUUGCACUGAAAUAGAAAUUGUGUAAAAUGUACAAUAUCUAUGAAUAUAUCUUUUCUAAAUGCUGGAUAGUAGUAAAGGGAAUUCUAAAGCUAAGGGUACUAAAAAGUAAUCCUUUCAAAUCACAGACAUUUACUUUAGCAUUGUAACUAAAACAAAGGCCUUGGCCCAACAGAUAUCUAGCCAAUUUCUUUAAACAAACCUUUUUGUAUAAGAACAAAAAC